CACUACAACCGCGAUGCGCAGAGAUGACUCGAGACGAAUGAAAGAACAUAACGAUGGCGGUUAGGCAGUACGUUACAGCUCUGGUUACUUGUUGUUUUCUAACCGUAGGAGCCGUUUUAUAAGCGCUAUAAAAUAUUGACUGGCAUUGUCUGAUAUUGUUUGGUGGCACGCGGGCAAAUCCGAAAUUAAAUUCACGGUCUUUACCUGCCAGAACCACAAUCUGAUUAUGAGGCAUGCCGUAGUGGGUGACUCCGGAUGAAUUUUGAACGCCUGGGUUUCUUUAACGUGCACCUAAAUCUAAAUACAACAUUGCGAACUUUCUUUCUUUCUUUUUUUUUGCAUCUCGCUCCUCCCCUACCAAAAUGCGGCUGCCGCGCGCGGAUUCGAACCCACGACCUUGAGCGCAACGUCAUAGCCGCUUUUAACUACAGCAGUGGGAGCAAGCCUGUGAGAGGGCGCUAUUCGAACUCGCGUAGUCGGCUAUACGAACGUUGGCGUUUCUGGCAAUCCUCAACUUAAUCCAAAUGUGCGCAUUAAAAGGGCAUUUGCGUCGCUCUGAAACGGAGGCCUCACCAGCCUCGAAACGUUUGCUUUAUUAGGAAGCACUCGGCGACGUACACCGGCAAAAUGGUUAUUUAGCAUGUGUUGCAAAAGACAGACGCCCGUCUGCUGCUGGCAUCAAUGUUGCGAACGUGGCUCCUACAUUUGACGUGCGGCGGACUGUGGGCGGCAGGCACCGAUGACGCAGCUAAAUUUACGAGCCGAUGGCGGUCGAGUGCCUUGUCAUCGGCGUCUGGCCUUGGCCCCCGGAUCAAGCCAGGGCAAGCCAAGACGAGGCCACAGGUCGUUCACGGUAUCAACGUUCAUGUGAAUGCGGCCCGAGCGGCUGUGUGGAUUUUUCAGAUCGUAAUGAUAGCAGACGGUCACCAGCAGACGGCGCGGACGAUUGCAUUAUGCUGUCGGCGGCAUUUUUGCGUACGCUGCUUCCACUAUUAACGCAUCUGAGACCUGCAUUUUUAAUUUCUAAUGCCAUAGCAAGGUUCUUAACGAAUAGUCCACGUAUCGAAACUGCAUUUUGUGCUUCGCUUCAGUCUAUCUUCAAAGGCUUGUUACAGAAGCACAGCCCUCUCUUCACUGCAACGGAACGUUUUGGUGACCUUCAGGACAGCUGCGCGCUGAUACCGAAAGACCUGCACUGCACGGACCAUGAGACUCACACGGCUACAGAGGUUUUUUGACCAGCGAUAUUUCUGAACGAAGAGGCGGGGAUGGGUCACCCGGAGUAAUCAGCGGGGGGUCGGAGACUGACGGCUACUCCGCAGGAGGUCAAAAAGAAGCGGCAAAAGUUCGAACUAAGCCCACCGACGCAAGAAACAGACAAACAGACGUCAAACGGCUCUUUGAAACCCGCCAUACAACGAAAGGCGCCCGCACUGUAGGUGGCAACAGGGCCCGAUCGACGCUUCGAUGGACCGUACUCGGCCGCCAGCCGUCGCCUUCUACACACCUGCGGGCGGGCCCCGACAGCACCUAUCAAUUAUAAUACCGAAGUGCCUUCGUGUGCCUGUGUAUAUUUUGCUGCUUUUGACUGAGUCUUCAAAACUCGCCAAUCGAUGACGUCGGGGACGCGGGGAUACCGCAGCGUGGGCGUCGCACUCCGCGUCGAAGCGUGAGACUCCUCGUUCGCAGGAGUCUCACGGUGACGUCACCGUCGGCUGCGGAGGCAGGUCUUUAAAAC